AUGGGACUUCCGAACUUAUUAAUGGAGGAUAAGCCUGAAAAAAUCGAAGAAGUACAUACUAAUGUGCACAAAAAAAUGAAUUGUGUGAACCGACAAAUCAACAUUGGAAUUACAAGAAUUCCAAAUGUUUAUAGAGACUCGAAUAUUCUUGCAGAAUUUCUAGCCGGACAAUUAAAGAAUAGAAUUUCGUUUCGUAAAGCAAUGAAAGAAGCUAUUGGAUUAGCUGAACAAGAAGGUACAAAAGGAGUUCAAAUACAAAUUGCGGGACGCAUCGAUGGAAACUAA